rnacentral:misc_RNA from 1 species
GAUGAAGAACGCAGCGAAAUGCGAUAAGUAAUGCGAAUUGCAGAAUUCCAGUGAGUCAUCGAAUCUUUGAACGCACAUUGCGCCCGCUGGUAUUCCGGCGGGCAUGCCUGUUCGAGCGUCAUUUCAACCCUCAAGCCCCCGGGUUUGGUGUUGGGGAUCGGCUCUGCCCUUCUGGGCGGUGCCGCCCCCGAAAUACAUUGGCGGUCUCGCUGCAGCCUCCAUUGCGUAGUAGCUAACACCUCGCAACUGGAACGCGGCGCGGCCAUGCCGUAAAACCCCAACUUCUGAAUGUUGACCUCGGAUCAGGUAGGAAUACCCGCUGAACUUAAGCAUAUCAAUAAGCGGAGGA